UGGUCCUAGCCUUGAAAUCAACUAUUACUUAAUUUAUACAUGCAAGUAUCCGCACCCCUGUGAAAACGCCCUUUAUUCCACAAUAGGGAAAAGGAGCUGGUAUCAGGCACAAUAACUGGCCCAAGACACCUAGCCCAGCCACACCCACAAGGGAACUCAGCAGUAAUUAACAUUAAAUAUAAGCGUCAGCUUGAUUUAGUUAAAGUAUAAAGGGCAGGCAAAUCUGGUGCCAGCCGCCGCGGUUAUACCACGUGGCCCAAAUUGAUUUCUUUCGGCGUAAAGAGUGAUUAAAGCAACACAACACUGUAGUUAAACCAUUAUUUAGUCGUAAAAAGCUUAUUAUCGAGAAACCCAAAAACGAAAGUUACUACACCCAAAACAACUUGAAUUCACAAUAGCUAAGAUACAAACUAGGAUUAGAAACCCUACUAUGCUUAGCCACAAACUUUUAAUUACACCAUAAACGCCAGGGAACUACGAGCAAAGCUUAAAACCCAAAGGACUUGACGGUGCCCCAUAUCCCCCUAGAGGAGCCUGUCCUAUAAUCGAUACCCCCCGCUUAACCUCACCAUUUUUAGCCAUAUCAGUCUGUAUACCUCCGUCGCCAGCUUACCACAUGAGUGUCCUAUAGUAAGUCUAAUGUCUACUCUCGUCAAUACGUCAGGUCAAGGUGCAACUAAUAAAAUGGGAAGAGAUGGGCUACACUCUCUAAAAUAGAACAAACGAAUGUCUACUAUGAAAACUAGUUUAAAGGUGGAUUUAGUAGUAAAAAAAGACCAAAGAGCUUUUUUUAAUAAGGCCCUGGGGUGUGUACACACCGCCCGUCACCCUCUUUGCAGCCCAAAUAAAGUUAAUCACUAAAUAUAGCACAGUAGAAGAGGUAAGUCGUAACAUGGUAAGUAUACCGGAAGGUGUGCUUGGAAA
rnacentral:ncRNA from 1 species